UGAAUAAUGCAGCCAGCUACCAAAACUGUAAUGCUUAUGAAGUUAAAAUUUACCCCAAAUAAAUUGACAGUGCUUGGUUGCUUGUGAAAGGAAAAGUGAUUAAGCAUUUUCAAAUCCCCGUAUUUCCCUUUAGAUAUUUGAUUAUAAACCAGUUCUUUAGGUCUUAGUUGAUUUAAGAGUCUAUUAUACAUAUAUUAAUAUUAUAUUUAUUUGUUUGUUUCAGGCUGUUUUUUGGAACUGGUGAAGGUGCCAAGGGUGGAGUCAAAAUUAAGAGUAUUCGCUUUCAAAAUUCAGGCUCAGGUUACAAAAUUUAGGAAGAGUUUAAACACCGUGAACUCUGGCGGUGAAGAGCUCCGAAAAGUGACAAACUAAAGGACAUCAUGAAGAAAAUAUUUGUUUUGUGUAAUACAUUGAAUCAGGGAACACCAAGAGUGACAAACAAGGAGUCUUUAAAUAGUCACCAAUAGUAUGAAUUCAAGACACUAAAUUUAAGGGAACAAGUAAUGAAAUUAUAAAGAGGGUUCAUGUGUGUCCUGAAUCUUUAUGUGUUCAUCAUAACCCUCUGCAAGAGCACUUGGUGAUCUUAUUGGUAUUAAAAAGCAUUUUUGUUGGAUAAGUGUUUUAAGAAAUAUGUUGUUCAAGAAUACAAAUGUGACUGUGGAAUAGAGGAGGAAUAGAGAAAUAAAACUUAUGAUAUGAGGUUUGUACUUAGGAAUUUGUAAGAAUGUGACAUUAGUGGUAGACAGGUACUAACAUAGGCUUUGGUAGAAAGGUAAAAAAUGCACUCCUUUUCAAAUUUGAUUUUGAGAAAGCUUUGUGCUUUGAUACACUGAAACUUUCUUAAGCUCACUCUAACUCAACUUGAUUUCCCUCUCAAGACUAUUAAUCUUAUCAUGAUCUGUACUACCACUUCUAACUUGGUGUUAAACUUGAUAGAUGAAUAAAGAGAAGGUGGAUAGUUUUUCUCCCUAUAGAGGACUAAGACAACAGAUCUAUGUCCCCCUAUCUCUUUUAUGUGUGGAAAAACUUGAUCUUGUCAUCCAAGAGAAGGUCCAACGGAAAAAAUGGAAGCUGGUCAAGUCUCCAAACAUGGUCCAUCUAUUUCUCACAUUUUAUUUAUAGAUGGUUGCCUUUUGUUUACUCAAGCUAAGACCUCUCAGAUCAAACAAUUUUGUCUAGCUUAUGGGUUAGAAGUUAUAUUCGCGAGUCCUGGUUUUUUCCUUAUUCUAAUUCAAGUCAUGUAAAAGUAUCUACAUAAUAUGCUUCUUUUAUUGACUUUCAUCAUACUUAUAAUAUUGGCAAAUAUUUAGCAUU